rnacentral:rRNA from 1 species
ACUCAAAUGAAUUGACGGGGACCCGCACAACCUGUGGAGCGUGUGGUUCAAUUCGAGACGAAACGAAGGACCUCACCAGGGUUUGACAUGCAAUCGUUUAUUUUCCUGGAAACAGGAAGAAAUCCGCAAGGAUGAUUGCACAGGUGCUGCAUGGCUGUCGUCAGCUCGUGCCGUGAGGUGUUCCCUUAAGUGGGGAAACGAGCGCAACCCCCAUCUAAUGUUAAAUUAUUCAUUAGAAACUGACGCUAUUUAAGUAGCGAAGGAAGGAGGGGAAGACGUCAAGUCAGCACGGCCCUUAUACCCUGGGCCACACACACACUACAAUGGCGAAGAACAAUGAGCAGCAAGCCGGCAACGGCAAGCGAAUCUCAGAAAUUUCGCCUCAGUUCAGAUUGGAGUCUGAAACCCGACUCCAUGAAGCCGGAAUAGGUAGUAAUCGCGGAUCAGCAUGCCGCGGUGAAUACGUUCUCGGGUCUUGUACACACCGCCCGU